rnacentral:rRNA from 1 species
GGGUCAGUAGGUUGGUCGUGCCACCGGUACGUACUGGUCUCACUGAUUCCUCCUUCCUGAAGAACCGUAAUGCCAUUAAUUUGGUGUUGCGGGGAAACAGGACUGUUACUUUGAAAAAAUUAGAGUGUUUAAAGCAAGCUAACGCUUGAAUACAUUAGCAUGGAAUAAUGAAAUAGGACGAUCGAUCCUAUUUUGUUGGUUUCUAGGAUUGACGUAAUGAUUAAUAGGGAUUGUUGGA